rnacentral:lncRNA from 13 species
UUACCAGAGAACACAAAUUAUCAGUAUGAUUUAAACAUAAUGAUCUGAUUAAUUUAAACCUGAAUCUGAUUGCCUUUAAUAUUGAAACACUGGCUCUAGCAAUGCCUUCAUUGUUUAUUUUGUGCUUUCCAUGAGUCAGGCAUUAUCACAUUUAAUUCACAAAGUCACACUGAGGGGUGGGCAUGAUUACAGUUUCUAUAUUGCAGGUAAGGACACAAAGAUUUAGAGAAGUUUCAAAAACGUAAAAACCAUCUAAGAUGACACACCUAGUAGGUGGCACCUCUGAGAUGUGUACCCGGGGUUGUGAAAGCAAAGUCAGUGUUGAUAACCUCAGUGCUCAACUGCCUCCGUGUAACUGAAGCUGUGCCUCCUGCCCGGUGCCUUCUCUGCUUCCCAGAACCAUCACCCUUUUCCCUGAGUUCUUCCUUAUUGGCUGAGGGACACCAGACCUUUCAUAAUCCUGGUUUGUCUCCUCAGGUUCUCAGUGAUCUAGUGCUUCACGUUAUAUUUGAUCGUGUCACCCAAAUAGUGUUGGGUUGAUUAUCGUUUUCUUUGUUUUAUCAGGAAUGACAAACAAGAAGCUGUGUUGGCAGGAUGGGACCAAGGACAGACCCUUGACUAGCGAACUUCCUCCUGCGGCACGUCAUCCAUUAUUAAUGGAAAGGUGUCAUGACAGCUCCCCGUUCGCCUUCCACCGUGAUUGUAAGCUUCCUGAGGCCUCACGAGAAGCUGAGCAGAUGUUUAAAGCUGGGGAGCUUCACACUCUCUGUCGAGGUCCUGGUUAGAAGGAGUGUCUACACAAUGGACAAAAGGCCCCAGCCUCUGACAUCAGGCUCUGGAUUGUCUGCUGAUUGA